UGGGGGAUAUUGCACAAUGGGCGAAAGCCUGAUGCAGCGAUGCCGCGUGAGGGAAGAAGGUUUUCGGAUUGUAAACCUCUGUCCUCGGUGAAGAUAAUGACGGUAGCCGAGGAGGAAGCCACGGCUAACUACGUGCCAGCAGCCGCGGUAAUACGUAGGUGGCAAGCGUUAUCCGGAAUUACUGGGUGUAAAGGGAGCGUAGGCGGUUAUGUAAGUUGAAUGUUAAAGAACGAGGCUUAACCUCGUAGUGCGUUCAAAACUACAUAACUUGAGUGAAGUAGAGGUAGGCGGAAUUCCUAGUGUAGCGGUGAAAUGCGUAAAUAUUAGGAGGAACACCAGUGGCGAAGGCGGCCUACUGGGCUUUAACUGACGCUGAGGCUCGAAAGCGUGGGUAGCAAACA
rnacentral:rRNA from 1 species